UGCCGACCUUGCGCCGAGGAGGUCCCGCGCCGUCCGCCGACCCUGCUGCUUGCGCCGGCCGCCGGCCCGUGCCGAGGCGCGGCCCCCGCCCCGCGCACCAGACGCGCUGCCGUCCCUGCUUGUGCCGGCCGCCGCCUCGAGCACCAGACGCACCGCCGUCCCCGAGCCCCGGCGCCGACCCCAGCCGCACGCGCACUCCCGGAGUUCCGGCGCCGCCCUCGACGCCAGCGCUUCCCCCGCGAGGAGCUGCCGCGCCGCCGUCGCGAGGAGGUCCCAGCCUCCUACUCGCUCCUCCGCCCCUUGAUGUGCCUGCAUCAAGGUCACUUCAAGGAAAUAGACUGACUUGGGAGAAUUCUAGAAGUGAUUGGCCUCAUGCAGGCUCUUGCUGUCUUAGACCUGAGGGAGAAUGAACUGAUAGGGCCGAUUCCUCCUAUACUUGGCAACCUAUCAUACACUGGCAAACUCUAUUUACAUGGCAACAAACUUACUGGACACAUACCACCAGAACUGGGGAACAUGAGUAAAAUUAGCUACUUUUAAGAAACUGUUAUCUUAACAACUUUGCAUUUAUGUUGAUAUGUGAUCUUAAUGAAGUUCAACAUUACUUCCACCAGGCAGCUGAAUGAUAAUGAACUAUAAGGCACCAUUCCAGCUGAGCUUGGCAAGCUCACAGAAUUAUUUGAAUUAAAUCUUGCCAACAACAAUCUUGAGGGUCAUAUUCCUGCAAACAUCAGUUCUUGCAGUGCACUGAACAAAUUCAAUGUGUAUGGCAAUAGACUGAAUGGCUCUAUCCCUGGUGGUUUCCACAAGUUGGAGAGCUUGACAUACCUGAACCUUUCUUCAAACAAUUUCAAAGCCCAGAUUCCCUCUGAACUUGGCCGCAUAGUCAACUUGGACACACUGGAUCUUUCCUACAAUGAAUUCUCUGGACCAGUUCCUCCCACUAUUGGUGAUCUCAAGCAUCUUCUUUGUCAUGUGGGGCCGCCAAUAUCAGCGACGUUCUCGCGUGUGCAGCGCCAACGGUUCGGCGGAGCAGGCGUCGGCAACAAUCAGUGGCUAAAGUUUAGGAGAUUUAUUAGUUUAUUUCCUAAUUAAGUGGAGGCCUAGGUGCCUAUUCAUCCUUGUACCUGAACCCUUGGAGGAUUAAUGAAGAAUUACCAGCCUAAUCUCCUUCCUUCCUAAUCUCACCUCCUUCAAUAUUGGGCAGUUGGGCAACAACCCUGAUGCCAUUAGCCGCCGGAGCUACGAACUUCGUAGCCGCGGCCCUGCUGUCUUCGGCGUUGACGCCCUUGACAACCUGCUCCGCCAGCACUGCCUCCUAUGCACAACGGUGCCACCGUGCUAGAGCCGGAAUGCGUCGUGCGCAUGCGCCUUGCCAGGGGGGUUCGCCAGGUUCUCAUCUAGUGGAAAGGGGAACCUCCCUCUUCGGCCACAUGGGAAGAUCUCGACGGCUUCGCGGAUCGCUACCCUUCUUUCCAGCUCGAGGACGAGCUGCUCGUCGAGGGGUGGAGAGAUGUCAUGUGGGGCCGCCAAUAUCAGCGACAUUCUCGCGUGCGCAGCGCCGGCGGUUCGGCAGAGCAGGCGCCGGCAACAAUCAGUGGCUAAAGUUUAGGAGAUUUGUUAGUUUGUUUCCUAAUUAAGUGGAGACCUAGGCGCCUAUUUAUCCUUGUACCUGAACACUUGGAGGAGUAAUGAAGAAUUACCAGCCUAAUCUCUUUCUUCCUUCCUAAUUUCACCUCCUUCAACAUUGGGCAGCUGGGCAACAACCCCGACGCCAUUACCCGCCGGAGCUACGAACUUCAUAGCCGCGGUCCUGCUGUCAUGGGCGUUGACGCCCUUGACAUUCUUGAACUGAAUUUGAGUAAAAA